CUGUUUUUUUUUUUUUUUUUUUUUAAUUCCCAUGUCUCUGUCAUCCCUGCAAAUGGUCAUGGAAACAAGGCCUCACCACAGAUUUUCUAACAAGAUCCACAUUGUUUUAAUAAGCUCUAGCUUUUAUAAGCAUAAGUCUGGCUCAGAGGCUGAAAACUGACAUCCUGUGAAGGCUUGAGUAGGAGGCAAUUAGAGUUAGCAGCAACCUCCCAGACUUGAGAGAAAAUGAAGGAAUGAAUGAAGAAUGGAUUCGGUUUUUUAGACGAGUAUUAAAAUGUAAAAAACAAAGCAACAAAAUAUGUUCUUUUGUUUUAACAGUUGGAGCAUUAAGAUAUCUUUCUGCAGUGCUCUAAGAAGUUUUCACACAGUUAAACCCUCUGGCCUCUCUGCUUGUUUGGAGGGAUGGUAAUGUCUGUAGCCUCGCUAGCGGCAGGGCUGUAAUACCUCAGCAACUAUGGGAUGGAUCGCCGUAAACUGUUGUAUUGACAUUCACGAUGCCCUUGGGAUGAAUCCAGAUAUCAUUAAUGAGCCUCAGACUUUUCAUCUACCAUCAUCAGACUAGAUGUCAGGAUACUUAAAGAAUCUGCCUUCUUCCUGAUCUGGAAAUAAAGCAGCGCGUGGGCUUUGAGGAGGAUAAUCCAUAUCGAGCUGAGUGGGAGUCUUGACUCAAGCGAGUCAAUUUUGAAAGUUCCCAGUGCCGAUGGAGUCACGACUGGAUGAUGGCUCAUGGAGAGAUCCUUGACACGAUAAUGAAAGGAACGCAGGUUGGACUGUUGAUUUGAAAUGAAGGCCUUCUGCAUGAUGCAUUUCCUUUGGAAGUCUUUAAUGUGGCCGUGGUAGUAGAAGAGAGGAUCAUCCUACAUGAGUUCAAAGAUGUGCCCACAGGCUUUUGCCUUGUUAAUGGGUGCAAUCUACUGCCUCAACCUUGAGUAGCCCCGUAAUAUGAAGUACUCCUUUGAGUUCUUUCAGAGGGUCAUCGGGAACAUUAAACCGGACCGAUGCUCAGCAAGAAUUCAAGGGCUCAGAGUUAAACUGCGUAGAUAUUGACUGUAAACAAAUGGAUGCACAUCUCAAGCCCCUACUAGGAGGAAGUGAAAAAGGCACUUGUUUUGUCACUAACUUUCAUUUCAACAAAAAUAAACAUCAUUUUUCUUAAGAACUGUGUUAUAGGAAUCUUUUAGACAUGGAUGUUUAUUGUAUUGUUUUAUAAAGCUCUCAGUACCCUACCUUAUCUCUCUCUCUCUCUC